AUGAGAAUGCCUUCUCUAGUUGGCGCCGUGGUGGUGCUGCUGCUCAGGUGCAGCAUAACAGUGGCGGCAGCAGCAAGUUCCGUGAACAUCGCGCUGCCCGGCUGCAAGAGCAAAUGCGGCGAUGUGGACAUCCCGUACCCCUUCGGCACCACCCCCGGCUGCUACCGGCCAGGCUUCAUGGUCACCUGCAAUGAGACGCACGGCCCGCCGAAGCUGUUCCUGGACAACGGUGCCAGUCCAGGUCAUGGCCCUGAGGUUGUCGAGAUAUCUAUGGCGAACAGCACGGUGCGCAUUGGGAGCUGGGUUUCACACUUCAUCACAUUAGUAGAAAAAGGGUCAAAUGUGAGACACAUUAGUCCCGGUUUGUAACAGAACCGGCACUAAUAUCUGGCCUUCAGCCGAGGCUCCCCCUUCGUGCUGUCGGCUAAGGUGAACAGCCUCAUCAUCGUGGGGUGUGGCUUCCGUGUCCUCCUGCACAACGUUGACGGGUGGACAUAUGGCUCGUGCGCGUCUUUCUGUCCAAUCAAUAACCGCACCGGCGAGGCGUUCUUGCCCGACAAUGUGUGCAACGGCAUCGGCUGCUACCAGCCGUCCAUUCUGAUUGGCCUUCGGUCCUGCCGUAUCGAGCUCUCCUUGCUCGAGCAAUACUUCAUGGACAUCCUGUCUUACCCUGACAUGAGCCCGUUCUUCAUUCCUGCCAUUGCAGCCUGGGGAUUGGGUGAGUUAUCCUGCGAAGAGGCUGCCCAGAGGCCAGAUUUUGGGUGCCGCAGCAAGAACAGUAUGUGCCUCAACUCCACAAAUGGCGCCGAAGGCUAUGUCUGCCGGUGUAGUGACGGCUACCAGGGCAAUCCCUACAUGACAAAUGGAUGCCAAGGAGGGCGAGGCCGUCUAGCAGCUGGAAUAAUUUUCUCCAUAGGAGUUGGCAGCGGCAUAAUUAUUUUGCUUCUAGUUCUUGCUGUCGUCUUUGCAAUAAAAAAGGUCAAGGAUCAGAAAGCAAAAAGGAUGAAGCAAUAUUUCUUCAAGCAAAACCGUGGGUUAUUGCUCCAGCAGUUAGUAGACACAGAUAUAGCCGAAAGGAUGAUUUUCAGCUUAGAAGAGCUUGAGACAGCAACGAAUAAAUUUGAUGAAGCUCGCAUUCUCGGUGGUGGAGGGCACGGCACAGUGAAUGUGGUAAAGCUGUUUGGUUGCUGUCUCGAGACAGAAGUUCCAUUGCUAAUCUACGAGUUCAUUCCGAAUGACAGAUUACGAAUUGCAACUGAACUUGCAAGUUCUUUGGCCUAUCUUCACUCGGCGGCUUUGAUGUCGAUAAUCCACAGAGACAUCAAGACAUCUAACAUACUGCUAGAUGAUCGCUUGACGGCAAAAGUGUCCGACUUUGGAGCUUCUAGAGGUAUUGCAAUUGACCAAUUAGGGGUAACAAUUGCCAUCCAAGGAACUUAUGGAUAUCUUGAUCCUGAGUACUACUACACAGGCCGACUGACCGAGAAGAGAGAUGUUUACAGCUUCGGUGUCAUGCUUGUGGAACUACUUACAAGAAAAAAACCAACUGGCUACGUGCCGUCAGAAGGCGUCAGUCUAGUAGCACACUUCAUGUUGCUGUUGAACCAAGAUAGGCUGAGUGAAAUACUAGAUUCACAGGUUUCCCAGGAGGCUGGGAACGAAGCCAAGGAAGUAGCGGCAAUCGCAGCAAUGUGCUUGGGGAUGAAGGGGGAAGACAGGCCAACCAUGCGGUACAUGGAAACGAAACUCCAGGGGCUGCAGAGUGUGGAGAACACCGUGAAGAGCGAUCCGGAAUUGGAAGAAGUUCCAGUUAGACUACGUCGCAGAACAUUUGAAAGAAGCAGAGAUAAUGCUGACAAGGAGGGUCAUAGUAACAGCAGGCGAUAUAGCAUGGAGGAGGCGAUGUUGUUUUCGGCGAGCUUGCAGCGAUGA
rnacentral:rRNA from 1 species